CCCUUAGAUGUUCUGGGCCGCACGCGCGCUACACUGACGAUGGCAACGAGUUUUUCCUUCGCCGAAAGGUGUGGGUAAUCUUUUGAAACAUCGUCGUGCUGGGGAUAGAUCAUUGCAAUUUUUGAUCUUGAACGAGGAAUUCCUAGUAAGCGCGAGUCAUCAGCUCGCGUUGAUUACGUCCCUGCCCUUUGUACACACCGCCCGUGGCUACUACCGAUUGAAUGGUUUAGUGAGGACUCCUGAUUGGCGCCGCCGCCCCGGCAACGGAGCAGCGGACUGCCGAAAAGUUGUUCAAACUUGAUCAUUUAGAGGAAGUAAAAGUCGUAACA
rnacentral:rRNA from 1 species